rnacentral:rRNA from 1 species
UGAGUAAUGUCUGGGAAACUGCCUGAUGGAAGGGGAUAACUACUGGAAACGGUAGCUAAUACCGCAUAACGUCGCAAGACCAAAGAGGGGGACCUUCGGGCCUCUUGCCAUCGGAUGUGCCCAGAUGGGAUUAGCUAGUAGGUGGGGUAACGGCUCACCUAGGCGACGAUCCCUAGCUGGUCUGAGAGGAUGACCAGCCACACUGGAACUGAGACACGGUCCAGACUCCUACGGGAGGCAGCAGUGGGGAAUAUUGCACAAUGGGCGCAAGCCUGAUGCAGCCAUGCCGCGUGUAUGAAGAAGGCCUUCGGGUUGUAAAGUACUUUCAGCGGGGAGGAAGGCGAUAAGGUUAAUAACCUUGUCGAUUGACGUUACCCGCAGAAGAAGCACCGGCUAACUCCGUGCCAGCAGCCGCGGUAAUACGGAGGGUGCAAGCGUUAAUCGGAAUUACUGGGCGUAAAGCGCACGCAGGCGGUCUGUCAAGUCGGAUGUGAAAUCCCCGGGCUCAACCUGGGAACUGCAUUCGAAACUGGCAGGCUAGAGUCUUGUAGAGGGGGGUAGAAUUCCAGGUGUAUCGGUGAAAUGCGUAGAGAUCUGGAGGAA